ensembl:lncRNA
UGUGUUUCCUGUUCAAACCGGAUUAUUGUGCCAACAUGUUGAUUUAUUUAAUUGCAUUACUAUCAUCAGCUCAAGGUGCCAGAGGGGCAGAAGUCAUCACUCCAUACAGUGAUUAUCAGUUUGCUGAUGAGGGUGAGAGUGUGACACUCUCUUGUAGCUACACUGGUUCUGUUCAAGGUCUUCAUUGGUAUCGGCAAUAUGCAGGUUCACCACCAAAGUUCCUCAUACUGGAUUAUUAUGGGGCAGUUACAAAAGCUGAUCCUCCAGUUGCUGGAGUCUCAAUCCAUCACAGAAUACACAACAGUAGUGUGGAUCUGAAUAUCUCCUCUGUUGCUGUCACUGACUCCGCUCUGUACUAUUGUGCUCUGGAGCCCACAGUGAAAGGAAGGAAAUCCACUGUAUGCUGUACAAAAAGCUGUUUAAAUAAGACUGUCAGAAAGAAAGCGAGAGAUGGGGUGAGGUUUUAUGUACGGUGAAAAAUCACAUAGAUAAAGAUAUUCUUAUAAAGUUCUUAUAUUAGAAGAUCCUUAAAAAACUGUCAUACUAUGAAAAUGUUCUGUGGCAGAAAGUGGAAGAUUAUCACUUAUGAGGACAUAAAUCAUUUAUGCAUAACAUGUGUAAGCACAACCAUCAAAUGAUUGUAAAUACAAACCCGAU